rnacentral:rRNA from 1 species
GACAGAGGCCUCGAGCGUUAGGCGGAAUCACUGGGCUUAAAGCGUGUGUAGGCGGGCCCGUAAGUGUCUUGUGAAAUCCCACGGCUCAACCGUGGAACUGCUGGGCAUACUGCGGGUCUUGGGCCAACUAGGGGCAGCCGGAACAAGCGGUGGAGCGGUGAAAUGCGUAGAUAUCGCUUGGAACGCCGAAGGUGAAAACAGGCUGCUGGGGUUGCGCCGACGCUGAGACACGAAGACCAGGGGAGCAAACGGG